UUUCCGUAGGUGAACCUGCGGAAGGAUCAUUGUCGAAACCUGCGAGACAGAACGACCCGCGAAUCGGUGAACACGCAUUCGGGAGACGGCCCCUUAGACGGGACUUUCUCCCGGAGUCCCUAGCCAAGGCGGCGCUCGAAAUCCGCUCCCUCGGCUACGGGCGAAACAAACGAACCCGGGCGCGAGUCGCGCCAAGGAAAAUGAAGAAGGAAGAUGAGCUCCCCUCGUCCCGGAAACGGUGCGAUGGGGGUCACGUCGUCGUUAUCUCGUACGAAACGACUCUCGGCAACGGAUAUCUCGGCUCUCGCAUCGAUGAAGAACGUAGCGAAAUGCGAUACUUGGUGUGAAUUGCAGAAUCCCGCGAACCAUCGAGUUUUUGAACGCAAGUUGCGCCCAAAGCCGUCAGGCCGAGGGCACGCCUGCCUGGGUGUCACGAAAAGUCGCAAACAUCCCUCCCUCCCUCGCCCCUCGACAGGCAGGGGCAGCGAGGCGAGGGAUGGCGGACGUUGGCCUCCCGUGCACCCCAACGCGCGCGGUUGGCCCAAAAAUCGGGUCCCCGCGAGGCGGCCACGACACACGGUGGUUGAAAGCACGCGCUCUCCUCGAACACCGUCGUGGGCCGGCCUCUUUUAUUUUCACGGGGAGCCAGAGACCCCGACGCCGAGCGUCAUCACGAAGCGACCCCAGGUCAGGCGGGGACACCCGCUGAGUUUAAG
rnacentral:rRNA from 1 species